CUCAGAAUUUGAUCAGAUCGACACAUCCAGCCCAAACUGUGUGGUAAUUGCAGACGCAGGAGAAAGCUUUUCCUACCAAAACGUGAAUAACGCCUUUCAGGUGCUCAUGGAGCUGGAAAAUCCUGUGCUCAUAUCACUGGGAAAAGGCAUCCACGGGUUCCUCUUUGUGGCUAGAACAUUCACGUCCUAAGUGGGGCUGCCGUUGGCCAGGUUAAACCAGUAACCAGUAACAGGAGAAAUCCAUCGCAUCUCUAGUGUGUGGAGGUUACCGGGCUUUCAUAUUAAAAAAAAAUUUUAAGUGCUUA
rnacentral:sRNA from 1 species